AAGAACCCCGGGAGGGGAGUGAAAUAGAAUACUGAAACCAUGUGCUUACAAAAAGUCAAAGUCCGUUAAUGGAUGAUGGCGUGCCUUUUGCAGAAUGAACCGGCGAGUUAAUGUUGCAUGCGAGGUUAAGUUGAAGAGACGGAGCCGUAGCGAAAGCGAGUCUUAAUAGGGCGAAUUAGUAUGUAGUAUUAGACCCGAAACCGAGUGAUCUAGCCAUGAGCAGGUUGAAGUUUAGGUAAAACUAAAUGGAGGACCGAACCGACGUACCCGGAAACGUGCGCGGAUGACUUGUGGCUAGCGGUGAAAUUCCAAACGAACUCGGAUAUAGCUGGUUCUCCCCGAAAUAGGUUUAGGCCUAGCCUUGAGAUUUAGCACUGUGGAGGUAGAGCACUGAAUAUAUGAUGGCCCCGUCUAGGGGUACUGAAUGUAAUCAAACUCCGAAUGCCAUGGUUGUAUGCUCAGGAGUCAGCGUAUGGGUGAUAACGUCCAUGCGCGAAAGGAAAAGAGUCCGGAUCGCCAGUUAAGGUCCCAAAAUUUGUACUAAGUGGGAAAGGAUGUGGAGUUGUCAAAACAGCUAGGAGGUUGGCUCAGAAGCAGCCAUCCUUUAAAGAGUGCGUAAUAGCUCACUAGUCGAGUGACACUGCGCCGAAGAUGUACCGGGGCUAAGUACAAUACCGAAACUGCGGAUUCACAUUUAUAUGUGAGUGGUAGGGGAGCGUUCCAAGUUGAGUUGAAGGUAGACCGUGAGGACUGCUGGAUUACUUGGAAGUGAGAAUGCCGGUGUGAGUAGCGCAAGAUGGGUGAGAAUCCCAUCCACCGUUUGACUAAGGGUUCCUGGGGCAGGUUCGUCCGCCCAGGGUUAGUCGGGUCCUAAGACGAGGCCGAGAGGCGUAGCCGAUGGACAACAGGUUGAUAUUCCUGUACUACCUAUAAGACUGAUGGAGUGACGGAGAAGGUUAGGAAAAGCCAGUUAUUGGAUUCUGGUCUAAGCACAAAGGCUUAUAAAUUAGGAAAUCUGUUUAUAAUUAAGCUGAAGUGUGAUGGUGAAGUCGCUUGCGACGAAAUUUUCUGACACCAUGCUUCCAAGAAAAGCUUCUAGGGUUAAUCUUAUAGGUACCCGUACUCAGAACCGACACAGGUGGUCAAGGAGAGUAUCCUAAGGUGAGCGAGAGAACUAUGGUUAAGGAACUCGGCAAAAUAACCCCGUAACUUCGGGAGAAGGGGUGGUCACUAGAUGACCGACACUAAAGACGCCCAGGCAACUGUUUACCAAAAACACAGGUCUCUGCUAAGUCGUAAGACGAUGUAUAGGGGCUGACACCUGCCCAGUGCUGGAAGGUUAAGAGGAGUGCUUAGAUAGACGCAAGUCGAUUAUUCGAAGGUACGAAUUGAAGCCCCAGUGAACGGCGGCCGUAACUAUAACGGUCCUAAGGUAGCGAAAUUCCUUGUCAGGUAAGUUCUGACCCGCACGAAAGGUGUAAUGAUCUGGGCACUGUCUCAACCAUAGACUCGGUGAAAUCUUAAUACCUGUGAAAAUGCAGGUUACCCGCAACAGGACGGAGAGACCCCAUGGAGCUUUACUGUAGCUUGAUAUUGAAGUUCGGUAUAUUAUGUAGAGAAUAGGUGGGAGACUAUGAAGUUAGGACGCUAGUUCUAAUGGAGUCACCUUUGGAAUACCACCCUUAAUGUAUUGAAUUUCUAACCUCGAUUCAUUAUCUGGAUCAGGGACAGUGUCUGGUGGGCAGUUUGACUGGGGCGGUCGCCUCCCAAAAAGUAACGGAGGCGCCCAAAGGUUCCCUCAGAAUGGUUGGACAUCAUUCAAAGAGCGUAAAGGUAUAAGGGAGCUUGACUGCGAGACCAACAAGUCGAGCAGGUACGAAAGUAGGGCUUAGUGAUCAGACGAUUCAGAAUGGAAUGGUCGUCGCUUAACGGAUAAAAGUUACCCUGGGGAUAACAGGCUGAUA
rnacentral:rRNA from 1 species